rnacentral:ncRNA from 1 species
UGAUGUUAAUAGCAUACUUAUCGAAAGGUAAGGACGCAAAGCUUUGAGUCUAAGGGAAAGUUUUUUUCUAUGAUCGUCAGGUUGCCAAA